CCCUUAGAUGUCCGGGGCCGCACGCGCGCUACACUGAAGGAAUCAGCGUGGCUUUCUCCCUGACCCGAAAGGGUUGGGAAACCCGUUGAAUCUCCUUCGUGAUAGGGAUUGGGGCUUGAAAUUGAUCCCCAUGAACGAGGAAUUCCCAGUAAGCGCGAGUCAUAAGCUCGCGUUGAUUACGUCCCUGCCCUUUGUACACACCGCCCGUCGCUACUACCGAUUGAACGGUUUAGUGAGGGCCUCGGAUUGGUCUCGGCCCGCUCUUUACCGGGCGGCGCCGUUGGUCGAGAAGACGCUCGAACUUGAUCGUUUAGAGGAAGUAAAAGUCGUAACA
rnacentral:rRNA from 1 species